GGAUAGCACAAACAAAAACACAACACUCACCCAACUGGAGCCAGUGUUUUGGAACAUGGUAAAAAGCAAAUUGCCAACCACUGGGGAAUCGCCAUCCAUUUCAUUAUUUUUGUCAGUGUGGGUCACUGUGUUCUCCGCAACUCAGUAUUUAUACUGCACAAAGCAGUUGCUCCGAAGCUGCUUGGACAGCAGGCUCUCUGCUAUUUGAUAAUUUCCCAGACUUGUGCAGCUGGGGUUUUGUGAUGGCAGCCCUUUAUAGCAGGGUCUCUUCGGGCCACUCCUUUCCAACAGCCCUGCUUCUUUCUCCUGGGGCAAUCCACCCUUCCCAACCGCUCUCUCUCUCAUUACCUACUUCUACGCCCCGCCCCCCCCCCCCCCCCCAGUCGCACUUUUAAUGCAAUCCUUCACCACCACUCCUGCCAGAAACCCCAUGCAAAGAAAAAGGCCUCACUUCUAAAGAGACAAGUUAAGACAGAGGAGAAUAGCAACAGAUUCACACUUCAAAUGAAUAAAGCAAAUGCCUGAACUGAGGAGGUAUUGUAAAGAAGGAACAUUCUUAAGCCGAAAAGAACUUGGUGGCAGAGGAAUUCUUCAUAGAAAAAGAAAUGUAUUUUUACUCUUGUUGAUCCAACCAAUGGAAAUACGUCAUUAGUGGAAGUAAUUUAGACUGAAUUUUGAAAACUACUUUUGCCUAAGAGAAGGGAGGGGACGGAGAUGGUAUUAGUUAUUUUUUAUUUUAAUUCCAGCAUAGUUUACAGUGAUAUAUUAGUUUCAGGUGUACAAUAUAGUGAUUUAGCAAUUCUACGCAUCACCCAGUCCUCAUCAGGAUACAUACGUGUACUCUUAAUAUCUAUCACUUUAAUAUCUAUUCACUCAUCUUCCCCACCUACCUCACCUGGUGUUAGUUAUUGAUCCAUUACUCACUUUUUUAGUAUAGUGUUUAUGGAAACAGAUAAAAGCCCCAGGGAUUCCAGAAAUGAAAUCAACAAUGUGAGCCUAGUCUUCAAUGAGCACAUUUCAUUUGCAUCAAAAGGAGAUGACUAUGAAAUCAUAAAUCUGAUUUCCUCGUUGAGCAAUGGCUCAGAGAUUUGAAAGAGAGGAUUUGAUUUCUACAUCUAUGUCUAGAGGAUAAUAUUUCUCGUACUGAUAAAAUAUUCUAAUUGCCUUGGCUUAAUCAUAAGAGAGUGUUAAUGUAUGCAAAAAUUCCCAGAUACACUUGAAUAAAGAUAAAAGUAUAAUUAAGUACCAUUAAACAUUUUUAGACUUCAAUGGGAAACAAAAAAGAGAAUAAUACAAGCGAGACAAAGCCCAGAAGGUGAAAGCAUGUUACACCAACACUCCCCCACCAGCCCCUCUGUCCCAGCUUGCCUUUGGAGAUACGUCCUGUCAUUCCAUUUACCUCCUUGUGCACAGCCUGCCUCUUUGUAGCUUAGGAAAAAGCAGCCCAGAGUUGCCAUGAGGAUGAUGUGUUAUGUCACUCGGGACUCAGAAUAGCUUCAUGGCAGCUUUAUGGCAAUAAUUCACUGUGGGACAAAGAGUAUCCAGCAGGAUCUGCUGGCUGUCAUGGCUAAUUUCCCUAUGUAUGAUGUGAUCUCUUUCCCUAAAGAACACAAGAAGACUUUAUCGGACUCAAGGCUCUGAGGCUAGGUUUCAUCCAAGUUCCUCUUGAUUGGCCAAAGCCAUCAUUUGCCAAGAGGUGGAAUGGACAUCUGUUGUUGACUGAUUAAACAUAAGGACCAAGACAGAGGCAUCAAGGAUAAGUGACUGUCCAGUUUCUAUGUGGAAAGGCUGGGUAGCUGGUAUUUGCCACAGCUGGUACUGAAAUGGAGAAGAGCUGAAGGAGAAGCAGGUAAAAGCAGGAUCCAGAGAUGAAGUCUGAACAUGUUAAAAAGAAGAUGCCUGGGAGAUAUCUCAGUGGAAAUGUGAAGCAGGUAACUAGACAGAUACACAGACCUCAAAUGAGCUUGGGUUAGAGAAUAAACCCAUUCAAACGCUAGAGUUUUCUUUGUUAUUUCCCAAGGUCCCAUGUGGGGUAACUCUAAUUUAAAAGAAGGUAAUGGGGGAUCCCUGGGUGGCUCAGCGGUUUGGUGCCUGCCUUCGGCCCAGGGCAUGAUCCUGGAGACCCGGGAUCGAGUCCCGCAUUGGGCUCCCAGCAUGGGGCCUGCUUCUCCCUCUGCCUGUGUCUUUGCCUCUCUCUCUCUCUCUCUCUCUGUGUGUGUGUGUGUCUUAUGAAUAAAUAGAUAAAAUCUUUAAAAAAAAAUAAAAGAAGGUAAUGUAUAUAUUCAGGCCGAUUUUCCACCACUGAUUCUGCUUUGGUUACCUGGUGCAAUGCACCAUCUGUUCCCUGCCUUCUUAGAUGCAGCCUCAAACCCUUACAGACUGCUAACUAUAUAGCAACCUGCUCAGUUCUUGAAUCAGCCAGAUGAGGUAGGUACCAUGACGUCCCCUCUUUCUUAAAUGGAGAAAGAGAAGCACAGAGACGUGAAAACUUGCCCAAAGUCAUGCAGGUGGUAAGUGCCUUCGUCAGAAUUUGAGAUUCAGGCAAUUUGGCUUUCACCUACCACAUGUUAAGUCUUACUGCCUCUCAAACCUCUGAGAUAGUGUCCAUGGCUUCUUUUAUUCCACACUAAAUACUCCUGGUUCCUCACUUGAACUGGUGCCUGGAUCCCUUAUUCACUUUAUUUUUGUCACAUGAACUGGUUUCUAGACACCCCCCAUUAGUUUUAUUUUCCUGCUCUUGAACCACUGAAGUUUGCUGGCAUGGACCAUGUAUAUGAAUGAGUCUUCUCUUCUAGACGAAGGGCAGGAAGCAGGCCCUGUGUUUAUUCUUUCCGAGUCCUUUACAAAGCUGCCAAGUGUGCGCACACAAGGUAAGCCCUCAAAUAAGGACAGGGCCAAACCGAGUCAGGAUAAUAGGUCUGCCCCUGUGGAUAAGAAGAGUUGGCUGGGAAUAUAUUUCUAUCUGUCACAGCCCUAAUUAAGGGGAAAGACCUUAUCGUGUGGCUAGAGAUGUCAACAUCAUGAAUUGGCUAAUUGUUCCCUCUUGCUGCAGACCUUCUCCAGUGUUGUCUCCAGGUCAGGGCAUGGAAGCUGGAGGGCACCUUGGCUGCACCACGGGACAUGACUAUGUGUACCGCACAGCUGUUCUGGGGCCGGACCACCUCUCACAAGGUCAAGAAAAAAUUGAUCCAGGAAGGGAGACUACCCAGAAGACAACACAGUGGCCCAGUGUCUAUAUCCAGACCCAGUGGCUUUGGUUAUAGAAGUGAAGUGGACCAAAUACGGGUCCUUACUGAACCUAAAGGCUAAAAUUGUAAACGUAACUGCAAGUCUCAUUUCAUCCCCCUUUCCUGAGACUGACUCAGGAAAUGAGAGGACGGUUCUUAUUUCCACUGCGGUUACUUUUGUGGAUGUGUCUGCACCUGCGAAGGCAGGCUUCAGAGCUCUGCCAACCAUCAAUGCCAGGCUGCCGUUUAAUUUCUUCUUUCCAUUUGUUUGACAAUGCUCACAUGAAAGGAUGCACUGGUUCCUCAUACAUGCAAAAUGUGGGAAGUACGUCUGAUGAGAUUUAAUUUUAUAUACAACUAGAAAAAAAAAUGCCUGGCCUGUGCAUCAGGCAUAUCUCUAUUUGGGAAAUACAGGCCUCAGAUGAUCUAACCUAUGAAAGAAACUGGGAAUAUGUGCUGCCUCUGAGGAAGUGGCUGAGGACAAGGGGCCAGGCCUAGGAAGAGAGGCUGACCUUUUUCACUAAAUGCCAUUUUGC